CUUUUCAAGAGAGAGUGACAGAGGGGUAUAGUGGGGGAGUAGGGGGAGGAGAGCUCCCCAAGGGUCCUCAACAACACCUGAAGGAGAAGGUGUGGCUCGACUGCUAGGUUGUUAAGAUGGUGUAUAAAUAGGGAUUGAAGAGGACUGUGGAUAGGAAAAUGGAGAAAAACGGAUUACUGGGGAUUUUUAAAAGGUAGGUAACAGGCAACAACAGGUAACACCUCACCCGACUCAAGGCAAAGAGGAGAAUAAAGGCACAAGGUGAGUCCGUGUUCAUUCAUGUUGUAGGAAGCCACCCUCUGAAAUGAUCUGCAUGGACCCCCCACGUGUGAACAUGUAGGAAUCCCCCGGGCUACGUUCUGCAGCAAUCAUUUUGAAUGAUCCUCAAAUAAGAGAAGGAAAAACACACUCCACGAAUCCUUCCUCCGCUACAUCUCUAGGUGAAGGUAUGAGGAUUCUCCGGGUUUCCCUGCUGGCCUUAUCAGAGGGGAGAAGCCUUGCUGUAUCCCCAUCUACACAGAAGAAGACCUCCUUUGGCCUCUGUGAUGCCAAGGGUGCCAGUCCCAGAGUGUUGCGGUGCCUCCAGGGUUCAAACUAGAUAACAGCUCGCUGGGGUGGGGGAUGGGGGCAGCUUGCCUUGUCAGUUGAAUAGGAAAAGCUGUGCGAAUUAGAAUCACAGAGGGCUUGUCUACCCUCCCUCCAGCCCCCCCCUUCUUUCAUUCCCAGAGCCUGAAUGCAAAUGAGUAUUUCUACAGUCUGAAGCCUAGAUCUUCCUCGGCAGUGGGGCUCUGCCCUGCUGGGAGCUGUUGGGAGUUGGACAUAGCUGCCUGUGAAGGAUCUGCUCUGGCCUGGACACGAGCUCCAUUUCAUCUGGAGCACUGUCGUUCAUGUCAUCUGCCCCAGUUCCCCCAGGGUUUUGGCGACAUACGCUGGCGACAUACACACAACUUUGUGUUGUGUAAGGGAACUCCUCUCUUUCUCUCCACAGAUCUUGCUGGUGUCUGCAAUCUGUUCUGGGUUAUUCCCUGCCCUGCUCUGUGGUAUAUGGAAUAUGUUCUGUGGUUGGCAAGGAUCUCUCGCAUGAAUUUGUGAAGCUGCAUACACUUCCUGUGAAGUGAUUCUGGGAGGAGGAAUUUGUGAGAUCAUGCCCAGUGGAAACAUGGUUGUCAACACAUUUGCCCCAGAGACUGUCCUCAGGGAACCAGAGGCAAUAGGGCCUGAACUCAGGGUACCUACUGAAUAUUUACCAAGGGCCUUAAAUAUAGCCCAAAGUCUGUGAUAAAAAUCACCAUCUGGUCCAGGUGCAUCUUGCUGUAAGAAAAUAUGAUAUUUGAAAAUUCAGAAAGAUAUAACAGAAGGACUUGCCGGUUUGCAUUACAAAAAGGUUGCAUGGGCUUCCCUAAGUGAAGCUUUCCCCUUUGAUAUUUAAUGUGUGGCUGAUUUAUUAGAAAUUCCAUUCAUAUCCAACUGGUCAGAAACACAUUCAUUUAUUUUUAUUUAUUUAAGACUUGUCACCUGCUUACUUUCAAGAGGUCUUGAGCAACUUACAGGUUAAAACAUGGGGCAAAAGGAGACAUUUAGGAAAGAAAUAGAACAGACAGAACCCAGGGAGGAGGUGGGGUUAGAGGCAUGAAGCAUACAAGAUGAAUGGGUUCUACAAUUAGGCUCUCUAAGGGAAAAAAG
ensembl:lncRNA